CACGUAGGGCGCAAGCGUUGUCCGGAAUUAUUGGGCGUAAAGAGCUCGUAGGCGGUUUGUUACGUCUGCUGUGAAAUCCUAGGGCUUAACCCUGGGCUUGCAGUGGAUACGGGCAGACUAGAGGUAGGUAGGGGAGAAUGGAAUUCCUGGUGUAGCGGUGAAAUGCGCAGAUAUCAGGAGGAACACCGGUGGCGAAGGCGAGACUCUGGGCCGAUACUGACGCUGAGGAGCGAAAGCGUGGGGAGCAAACAGG
rnacentral:rRNA from 1 species